GUGAACGCUGGCGGUAGGCCUAACACAUGCAAGUCGAACGGCAGCACAGUAAGAGCUUGCUCUUACGGGUGGCGAGUGGCGGAUGAGUGAGGAAUACAUCGGAAUCUACUUUUUCGUGGGGGAUAACGUAGGGAAACUUACGCUAAUACCGCAUACGACCUACGGGUGAAAGCAGGGGAUCUUCGGACCUUGCGCGAUUGAAUGAGCCGAUGUCGGAUUAGCUAGUUGGCGGGGUAAAGGCCCACCAAGGCGACGAUCCGUAGCUGGUCUGAGAGGAUGAUCAGCCACACUGGAACUGAGACACGGUCCAGACUCCUACGGGAGGCAGCAGUGGGGAAUAUUGGACAAUGGGCGCAAGCCUGAUCCAGCCAUACCGCGUGGGUGAAGAAGGCCUUCGGGUUGUAAAGCCCUUUUGUUGGGAAAGAAAAGCAGCAGGUUAAUACCCCGCUGUUCUGACGGUACCCAAAGAAUAAGCACCGGCUAACUUCG
rnacentral:rRNA from 1 species